AGCGCAGGCGGGAAGACAAGUUGGAAGUGAAAUCUAUGGGCUCAACCCAUAAACUGCUUUCAAAACUGUUUUUCUUUGAGUAGUGCAGAGGUAGGCGGAAUUCCCGGUGUAGCGGUGGAAUGCGUAGAUAUCGGGAGGAACACCAGUGGCGAAGGCGGCCUACUGGGCACCAACUGACGCUGAGGCUCGAAAGCAUGGGUAGCAAACA
rnacentral:rRNA from 1 species